CCAACGAUAGAUCAGUAACCGGGUGGUUCUUUACAAACCCAGUAGGUACGAUUUGAGUUUUUUUCAUUCUUCAAAGAAAAAGUUGGAAGCUUUUAGUCAUCUGAUGGAUUGUUUUAUACACAAGUGGCUGAGUGCUUAAUUGAAUGUGUCCAUUCUCUGUUAUGCACAAAGAAGACCCAAACAUAGUGCUAAAUAAUUAAUCUUACUUAACUUUGGGACCAGAAACUCUUGUAUUAUACCUAAUCAAUUUCAUGAUCUUUGUCGACACUUGCAAAAGGAAAA